UACGGAGGGUGCAAGCGUUAUCCGGAUUUACUGGGUUUAAAGGGUGCGUAGGCGGACUUUUAAGUCAGUGGUGAAAUCCCCGAGCUUAACUCGGAAACUGCCAUUGAUACUAUUUGUCUUGAAUUCGGUCGAGGUUGGCGGAAUGUGUCGUGUAGCGGUGAAAUGCUUAGAUAUGACACAGAACACCGAUUGCGAAGGCAGCUAGCUAGACCGACAUUGACGCUGAGGCACGAAAGCGUGGGGAUCAAACAGG
rnacentral:rRNA from 1 species